UACGAAGGGGGCUAGCGUUGUUCGGAAUCACUGGGCGUAAAGCGCACGUAGGCGGGUUGUUAAGUCGGGGGUGAAAUCCUGAGGCUCAACCUCAGAACUGCCUUCGAUACUGGCAAUCUCGAGUCCGGAAGAGGUUGGUGGAACAGCUAGUGUAGAGGUGAAAUUCGUAGAUAUUAGGAAGAACACCCGUGGCGAAGGCGGUUCUCUGGGACGGUACUGACGCUGAGACGCGAAAGCGUGGGGAGCGAACAGG
rnacentral:rRNA from 1 species